rnacentral:rRNA from 1 species
AUUGAACGCUGGCGGCAUGCCUUACACAUGCAAGUCGAACGGUAACAGGUCUUCGGAUGCUGACGAGUGGCGAACGGGUGAGUAAUACAUCGGAACGUGCCUAGUAGUGGGGGAUAACUACUCGAAAGAGUGGCUAAUACCGCGUGAGAUCUACGGAUGAAAGCGGGGGAUCGCAAGACCUUGUGCUACUAGAGCGGCCGAUGGCAGAUUAGGUAGUUGGUGGGAUAAAAGCUUACCAAGCCGACGAUCUGUAGCUGGUCUGAGAGGACGAUCAGCCACACUGGGACUGAGACACGGCCCAGACUCCGACGGGAGGCAGCAGUGGGGAAUUUUGGACAAUGGGCGCAAGCCUGAUCCAGCAAUGCCGCGUGCAGGAUGAAGGCCUUCGGGUUGUAAACUGCUUUUGUACGGAACGAAAAGCCCCGGGUUAAUACCCUGGGGUCAUGACGGUACCGUAAGAAUAAGCACCGGCUAACUACGUGCCAGCCGCCGCGGUAA